UAACCCAAUGGUAUGUCAGUAUGUGAUAUGUU
rnacentral:piRNA from 1 species